UACGAGGGGGGCAAGCGUUGUUCGGAAUUAUUGGGCGUAAAGGGCGCGUAGGCGGUGUCGCAAGUCCGUGGUGAAAUCUCUAGGCUCAACUCCGGAACUGCCAUUGAAACUGUUGAACUUGAGGACGAGAGAGGUGAGUGGAAUUCCCAGUGUAGAGGUGAAAUUCGUAGAUAUUGGGAAGAACACCGGUGGCGAAGGCGGUUCUCUGGGCCUUACCUGACGCUGAGGAGCGAAAGCAUGGGGAGCAAACAGG
rnacentral:rRNA from 1 species